rnacentral:rRNA from 1 species
AGUACGACCGCAAGGUUGAACUCCAACGAAAUGACGCGGGCCCGCACCAGCGGUGGAGCAUGUGUUUAAUUCGAAGCUACGCGAAGAACCUUACCACGUCCUGACAUCUUGCGCCAACCCUAGAGAUAGGGCGUUUUCUUCGGGAACGCAAUGACAGGUGGUGCAUGGUCGUCGUCAGCUCGUGUCGUGAGAUGUUGGGUUAAGUCCCGCAACGAGCGCAACCCUUGUUACUAGUUGCCAGCAUUAAGUUGGGCACUCUAGUGAGACUGCCGGUGACAAAACGGAGGAAGGUGGGGACGACGUCAGAUCAUCAUGCCCCUUAUGACCUGGGCUACACACGUGCUACAAUGGACGGUACAACGAGUCGCGAACUCGCGAGGGCAAGCAAAUCUCUUAAAACCGUUCUCAGUUCGGACUGCAGGCUGCGACAAGCCUGCACGAAGUCGGAAUCGCUAGUAAUCGCGGAUCAGCAUGCCGCGGUGAAUACGUUCCCGGGCCUUGUAAAAACCGCCCGUCUCACCAUGAGAGUUUGUAACACUCAAUAGGGGUGGGGUAACCUUUUAGGAGCCAGCCGCCUAAGGUGGGACAGAUGAUUAGGGUGAAGUCGUAUCCAAGGGGGCC